rnacentral:lncRNA from 1 species
CAAAGCUACAGCAAAAUUGUAUCUGUCAAUUAGGCCGGUCUACUCGUGCUCAUACUCCUUCUGGUAUCUCUUGCACUCGCAGUCUCUCUGGCGGCGCACUCCUUAAUGUCCGGCACAUGUCCGGCGCAAAUGAAAUUAAACGCUGACGCACCAUUUGCUGACCGGCAGGACUUCGACUGGUGGUGGCAUAAAGGAGCCCAAAAAUGACUUGUCAUAAAUCAAGAAAUCGACAAAAAUACAUUUCAAUGCGGCAAACAUUUUAAUAUACAACAAGGAAGAUGGUUUUUGGGGGCCGAAGCUUUUAAUACCCUUUGCAGCAGAUCCAUCAUGGCUUAAGGUCUAAAGAUGGGCGAAAAGUCAUUCGAUGUUCCCGAUGCCAAAAAGAUUUCCACUGAGCACUUAACCACUUUUCUGUCACUCUCUCAGUCAUUCGCUCACUCACUCAUUUGGUCAUUGAUUCGGUUGGUAAGUUAGUCAUUCGUUGGCUCCUUUCAUGCGCUCAAAGGCAGUGCCACUAUAAAAAUAUUAUCUAUAGUUUCCACUCAACUGCACAGCGGCACUUACCGGACGACGCUCGUCCUUGCCUCACACCCCAGAGCCCAAGCACGGUUUUGGUCUCUUGGCCAACACGCACAUGAACACACAUGUGUAUGUGUGUGCGUGUGUGUGUUUGUUUGUAUAAAUCAUAGUGGUUAAUGUGCACUCAUAAAUGGAUAAGCCCGAGCAGUCCAUAUGCUUCAAGCCAGAUCCAGCAGGAGGAGCAGCAGCACCAGUCACCGCACGUGAUGGCGAAUAUGAAUAUGAGUUGUGAAUGGUGUGAGAUAUGGCACAUGGGACAGAUGGAUUGUGGCUUGUGUCUUGGGCGGACAUUGCUCAUUCAGGUCAGGUCAAGACGGAGCCAGCUCAGGCAGAGGGAAAUCGUUUUGUGUGCGUGUCAUUUAUGGGUCAUUUGCCAUGGAAGCGGCAUGUUCCAAACAACAAGUGAAGCCAAUCGAACUGGAAACCAAAUGUUGCAAGAUUUAAUCAGUGCUGUUCUCUGCCUCUAAGUUGCACCAGCUGCAAAACCAUCGAAAGCCUGGGAAUCAAUUAAAAGGUAGAUGCAAAAUGUGUAAAUCAAAUGGUAUUUGGAUGCGUAUAAAUGACAUUCCAUAUUCUCCUGCAAUUUGUAGAUUUAAAUUAUAUUGCAUGGAUUAUAUUUUGUAUAUUUAUUAAGAGACAUUCCCCAAGAUAUAUUCGAAAUCUUCAAGGUUAGUUCCACCCAAAAACUACCUUAAGAAAAAAUACAUUCCAA